AUCAGAAUUCAGAAAUGUCAAAUUCGAUUCUGUGCUAAAUAUUCUCAUAUUUUUACACUCCAAACACAAAUUUUCAAUAAAGACCGGCCCGGCCCGGCCCGGCCCGACAAAUUGACUCCUCUACACGCGUUUUCUGCUUUUUCCCUUCUUUGCUCUGGCAGCAAUCCAAAUUGAAACGCCAUCAUCAUAAAUUCAUAAUUCAUAGGCAUACCCACACAACGCUGAAGGUGCUUGGUUAAAGAAAAGAGGAAUAAGAGAUGACUAGAGGGAAACAGAAGCUCGAAGCUCAGAAGAAGAAUGCCGAGAAGAAUCAGAAGUCCAAAGGCUCGCAGAUCGAAGCCCGUGCCCACGGCUUACAAGUCGUUUGCCCCAUUUGUCGAGCCCAGUUAGCAAAUCAGAAUCAGCUUGUUGAUCAUUACGCCUCCAAGCACCCAAAAGAAAAGCCUCCAAGCAACUCAGGAUAACAGCUAAAAAGCUUCGGGUUAUUUCAGCUCUUGUUCAACUGUAAUUUAACUCUACAGCAUGUGAUGAUGAAUUCCGCUGUUCUGUUUAUAAGAAUGUAAUCUAUUUAUCACCUCCCCUUGUCAUAUUGGCCUGCAAGGAAAUCUACACAUGAAUAAAUUGUAGUACUAUCUUCUGUCUUGUGGGGCACUAGAAGUGAUUUUUUGAA